CGGGAGGCAAGCCGGCACUGGUGCGACGCGGCCCGACAGUCGAGGUAUCGCUGCCUAAGGUGGCGAGAAAAUGGGUGGUUCUGCGAUAAGGAUUCUUAUCUCAUGAGUGGUGAACCGAUGGGAUCAGGAGUCCUGUGAGAAGGAAGAAGUCACUUUUGCCAGCAGAAAGCUGAAGGGGGAGGAGAAGGAAGUUUUAUCACACCUUUCUUCCAGAAAACCCUAGAGGCAGAAGUCAGAAAGCAGCGUGCCUAUGUGUGUGGCAAGAUUGGGCACUGGAAGUGAGAAGAAAAAUGGCAAGAAGUUAAGCUGAGCAGGCUACUUAAGCUUUGGCUUUCUCAACAUAUCAAUAAUUAGCAUCAUCAAUUAUGAAUAGCAGUAAUCUCAGAAACCCUGAAGAUGGCUUCAUUAGGAAAAGGCAGGUUACUCUGUGCUGUCUUUGGCCUCUACCCAACAUAUGGUACUACCCAAGUCUUCAAGCUCAGAGUUCAGAGGGGGAUGGAACAGUUAUGGAAGAGAAAGCAAUGGCCAAGCCAGGGACCAGGAUGUAGGAAACCUAAAAGCAGAUGGAGCCAAGCAGAGCCUUGCCAAGUGUUUUCUUUCCCCAAACUCCUCAAACGUAAAACUUUCUGAUUCUAAGUGACCAAGAUAUCUAGCUUCUUCAGUCUGGGACUUAAACUUCCACAAAAGGAUGGUGACAUGGCUCAGCAGGUAGAGGCAUGACUUGCCAAGUCAAAUGAUCAGAGCUCAGAAAGAACCCACAUGGUUGAAUCAACUCCCCGCACUUAUCCUCUGAUCUCCACAAGUCUGCACCCAUACACACAAUAAGCCGAAUUUAAAGAUACAAAACAAUAAAUGACUUCCACCAAAAA
rnacentral:lncRNA from 1 species